AUGAUUCCAGAGGAAGCAAAACUAACUUUCUCGAAUUCACGACGGCAACUGGCACCUAAUGCACGCGAACUUGGAGAAAGCCACUUCUUGCACCAAACAUAUACCUCACGAACGCAACAUGAAGGCAAUGGUUACAAAGUUUUCAACACUAGGUUGAUAUUCAACAUGAAUCAUGGGGGAGACAAAAUGCUGCUGAUGGGCUCAACAGCAACUCAUCGGAAUUUCCAUAUCACUGGACUUCCACCAACAUGUGAACACGGUGAUAGCAUUGAUCAGACCAAAGGAUGUAAUGGUGUAUGCUCAAAGGAUCAACCACGAGUAAGACAACAUUACGAACAUCGUUGGUUCUGA
rnacentral:rRNA from 1 species